CACGUAGGGUGCGAGCGUUGUCCGGAAUUAUUGGGCGUAAAGAGCUCGUAGGCGGUGUGUCGCGUCGGCCGUGAAAACCUGCAGCUCAACUGCAGGCUUGCGGUCGAUACGGGCAGGCUAGAGUUCGGUAGGGGAGACUGGGAAUUCCUGGUGUAGCGGUGAAAUGCGCAGAUAUCAGGAGGAACACCGGUGGCGAAGGCGGGUCUCUGGGCCGAUACUGACGCUGAGGAGCGAAAGCGUGGGGAGCGAACAGG
rnacentral:rRNA from 1 species